rnacentral:rRNA from 15 species
ACGGGUGAGUAACGCGUGGGAAUCUACCCAUCUCUACGGAACAACUCCGGGAAACUGGAGCUAAUACCGUAUACGUCCUUCGGGAGAAAGAUUUAUCGGAGAUGGAUGAGCCCGCGUUGGAUUAGCUAGUUGGUGGGGUAAUGGCCUACCAAGGCGACGAUCCAUAGCUGGUCUGAGAGGAUGAUCAGCCACAUUGGGACUGAGACACGGCCCAAACUCCUACGGGAGGCAGCAGUGGGGAAUAUUGGACAAUGGGCGAAAGCCUGAUCCAGCCAUGCCGCGUGAGUGAUGAAGGCCCUAGGGUUGUAAAGCUCUUUCAACGGUGAAGAUAAUGACGGUAACCGUAGAAGAAGCCCCGGCUAACUUCGUGCCAGCAGCCGCGGUAAUACGAAGGGGGCUAGCGUUGUUCGGAAUUACUGGGCGUAAAGCGCACGUAGGCGGAUAUUUAAGUCAGGGGUGAAAUCCCGGGGCUCAACCCCGGAACUGCCUUUGAUACUGGGUAUCUCGAGUCCGAGAGAGGUGAGUGGAAUUCCGAGUGUAGAGGUGAAAUUCGUAGA